GCUAAUACCGCAUAACAACAAAAACCGCCUGGUUUUUGUUUAAAAGAUGGUUUCGGCUAUCACUUUUGGAUGGACCCGCGGCGUAUUAGCUAGUUGGUAAGGUAACGGCUUACCAAGGCAGUGAUACGUAGCCGAACUGAGAGGUUGAUCGGCCACAUUGGGACUGAGACACGGCCCAAACUCCUACGGGAGGCAGCAGUAGGGAAUCUUCCACAAUGGACGCAAGUCUGAUGGAGCAACGCCGCGUGAGUGAAGAAGGUUUUCGGAUCGUAAAACUCUGUUGUUAGAGAAGAACGUGUGUGAGAGUAACUGUUCAUGCAGUGACGGUAUCUAACCAGAAAGCCACGGCUAACUACGUGCCAGCAGCCGCGGUAAUACGUAGGUGGCAAGCGUUGUCCGGAUUUAUUGGGCGUAAAGGGAACGCAGGCGGUCUUUUAAGUCUGAUGUGAAAGCCUUCGGCUUAACCGAAGUCGUGCAUUGGAAACUGGGAGACUUGAGUGCAGAAGAGGAGAGUGGAACUCCA
rnacentral:rRNA from 1 species